GGCUUAGUGGUGGGGUGACUGCGUACCUUUUGUAUAAUGGGUCAGCGACUUAUAUUCUGUAGCAAGGUUAACCGAAUAGGGGAGCCGGAGGGAAACCGAGUCUUAACCGGGCGUUAAGUUGCAGGGUAUAGACCCGAAACCCGGUGAUCUAGCCAUGGGCAGGUUGAAGGUUGGGUAACACUAACUGGAGGACCGAACCGACUAAUGUUGAAAAAUUAGCGGAUGACCUGUGGCUGGGGGUGAAAGGCCAAUCAAACCGGGAGAUAGCUGGUUCUCCCCGAAAGCUAUUUAGGUAGCGCCUCGUGAACUCAUCUCCGGGGGUAGAGCACUGUUUCGGCUAGGGGGCCAUCCCGGCUUACCAACCCGAUGCAAACUGCGAAUACCGGAGAAUGUUAUCACGGGAGACACACGGCGGGUGCUAACGUCCGUCGUGAAGAGGGAAACAACCCAGACCGCCAGCUAAGGUCCCAAAGUCAUGGUUAAGUGGGAAACGAUGUGGGAAGGCCCAGACAGCCAGGAUGUUGGCUUAGAAGCAGCCAUCAUUUAAAGAAAGCGUAAUAGCUCACUGGUCGAGUCGGCCUGCGCGGAAGAUGUAACGGGGCUAAACCAUGCACCGAAGCUGCGGCAGCGACACUCAGGUGUUGUUGGGUAGGGGAGCGUUCUGUAAGCCUGCGAAGGUGGCCUGUGAGGGUUGCUGGAGGUAUCAGAAGUGCGAAUGCUGACAUAAGUAACGAUAAAGCGGGUGAAAAGCCCGCUCGCCGGAAGACCAAGGGUUCCUGUCCAACGUUAAUCGGGGCAGGGUGAGUCGACCCCUAAGGCGAGGCCGAAAGGCGUAGUCGAUGGGAAACGGGUUAAUAUUCCCGUACUUGGUGUUACUGCGAAGGGGGGACGGAGAAGGCUAUGUUGGCCGGGCGACGGUUGUCCCGGUUUAAGCGUGUAGGUGUGUGUUCCAGGUAAAUCCGGUUCACUUUAACACUGAGGCGUGAUGACGAGGCACUACGGUGCUGAAGCAACAAAUGCCCUGCUUCCAGGAAAAGCCUCUAAGCAUCAGGUAACAUCAAAUCGUACCCCAAACCGACACAGGUGGUCAGGUAGAGAAUACCAAGGCGCUUGAGAGAACUCGGGUGAAGGAACUAGGCAAAAUGGUGCCGUAACUUCGGGAGAAGGCACGCUGACACGUAGGUGAAGUGAUUUACUCAUGGAGCUGAAGUCAGUCGAAGAUACCAGCUGGCUGCAACUGUUUAUUAAAAACACAGCACUGUGCAAACACGAAAGUGGACGUAUACGGUGUGACGCCUGCCCGGUGCCGGAAGGUUAAUUGAUGGGGUCAGCGCAAGCGAAGCUCCUGAUCGAAGCCCCGGUAAACGGCGGCCGUAACUAUAACGGUCCUAAGGUAGCGAAAUUCCUUGUCGGGUAAGUUCCGACCUGCACGAAUGGCGUAAUGAUGGCCAGGCUGUCUCCACCCGAGACUCAGUGAAAUUGAACUCGCUGUGAAGAUGCAGUGUACCCGCGGCAAGACGGAAAGACCCCGUGAACCUUUACUAUAGCUUGACACUGAACAUUGAGCCUUGAUGUGUAGGAUAGGUGGGAGGCUUUGAAGUGUGGACGCCAGUCUGCAUGGAGCCGGCCUUGAAAUACCACCCUUUAAUGUUUGAUGUUCUAACGUGGACCCGUGAUCCGGGUUGCGGACAGUGUCUGGUGGGUAGUUUGACUGGGGCGGUCUCCUCCUAAAGAGUAACGGAGGAGCACGAAGGUUGGCUAAUCCUGGUCGGACAUCAGGAGGUUAGUGCAAUGGCAUAAGCCAGCUUGACUGCGAGCGUGACGGCGCGAGCAGGUGCGAAAGCAGGUCAUAGUGAUCCGGUGGUUCUGAAUGGAAGGGCCAUCGCUCAACGGAUAAAAGGUACUCCGGGGAUAACAGGCUGAUACCGCCCAAGAGUUCAUAUCGACGGCGGUGUUUGGCACCUCGAUGUCGGCUCAUCACAUCCUGGGGCUGAAGUAGGUCCCAAGGGUAUGGCUGUUCGCCAUUUAAAGUGGUACGCGAGCUGGGUUUAGAACGUCGUGAGACAGUUCGGUCCCUAUCUGCCGUGGGCGCUGGAGAACUGAGGGGGGCUGCUCCUAGUACGAGAGGACCGGAGUGGACGCAUCACUGGUGUUCGGGUUGUCAUGCCAAUGGCACUGCCCGGUAGCUAAAUGCGGAAGAGAUAAGUGCUGAAAGCAUCUAAGCACGAAACUUGCCCCGAGAUGAGUUCUCCCUGAGACUUUAGGUCUCCUGAAGGAACGUUGAAGACGACGACGUUGAUAGGCCGGGUGUGUAAGCGCAGCGAUGCGUUGAGCUAACCGGUACUAAUGAACCGUGAGGCUUAACCUUACA
rnacentral:rRNA from 1 species